GCAGUCGUGGCCGAGUGGUUAAGGCGAUGGACAAGAAAUCCAUUGGGGUCUCCCCGCACAGGUUCGAAUCUGGCGACUGCG
rnacentral:tRNA from 2 species